GAUUUUUGUGUUUUUGAUUUUUGUUUUUCGUUUUUGUGUUGUUCAGGACUUCAAAGAUAUGAGUGAGCAGGAGAUUCAAAGAUAUUAUCGAACAAGGUUGAGGGAGAUGGUGGGAUAACUUAUGUUUUAAAAAAAAAAAAAAAAAAAUUCAAAACCCUCUUAUCCUCACCCACUCAAUUUUUCCUAUCCCUUUCUCCCUAACCACAAAAAAAAAUCUUAUCCUCUCUCUAUCUCUCUCACUCGAUCUCCUUCACCACUUCUCACAUUUUUCUCUCAUCUCUCUCUUACUCGACCCUAUCCUCUCACCAUCCACUCGACCUCGCAGCUGUCACUCGACCGACCUUACUUCACUCGAUCGACGGCGCAACUUUCACUCGACCUACCGUCUAAUUUCUCCCCUCACUCGACCGAGAAUGUCCACUCGAC
rnacentral:lncRNA from 1 species